UUCAACAUCCGGACCUGGCAAAGGUCUUCUGCGCAUGCCCUGUUCUAGAGUCUGAAAGGUCGAAGUCACGUGGUGUCGAAGUAUUUGGAUCAUCUUCAAGGUUGAAUCAGUAAGGCUCACUGGGUCAUUCUGUGGGGACACCAGGUUCAAAUUCACACAGACUCAGCAUUUGGUUUUCAAAGCAGCUCAUGAAUGAAGGCGUUUAAACUUUUCAGAAGAAAUCUACACUUACCUGGCAAGGUGGCCCCAAUUGGAUCCUCCUGAAAAGAAGCUCUUUAGAAUCAUUGGAUGGAUCUCCUCUUCCCUGGAGCUCUGCUGAGAUCUCCUCAAUAAAUGGCUCCUGCAAAUGAAAAAAAGCCUGAUUUAUGAUCCACUUUCAAAUGACUUUAACCAUGUUAGUUUGUUUAAGUUUUUCCUCUCCACAUGUAUUUUUCCAAUUCAAAUCAAAUGUAUUUAUGUCUAUUCUAUCCAUGAGACCACCAACCUGGAAGCUCAGAUCUUGGAAUGUACACCAAGGCAGUGGUGAAAUGUAAAAUUUGUUACUUACCGGUUCUGUGGGCGUGGCUUGGUGGGGGAUAAUGUGACUGAGUGGGUGUGGCCUUUUUUUUUUUUUACUUUUAAAACCAUUUUUUCUACAAUCUCUUUAGAUGAAGAGGUUGUUAAAAAAAUGCUUUUAAAGGCCUCUGACGAUCAGGCAACUCAGCUGGGAUCGUCAGAGGCUUUUAAAAGCAUUUUUUCUACAACCUCUUUGGCCUAAGAGGUUUUAGAAAAAAUGUCUUUAAAAGCCUCUGAUGAUUCCCAGCUGAACCGUGCGAUCAUCAGAGGCUUUUAAAAAAAAUUUUGAAAGCAUUUUUUUGGCCAAAGAGGUUAUAAAAAAAAUGCUUUUAAAUUUUUUUUUAGAAGCCUCUGAUCAUCGUUCGGCUCAGCUGGGCAUGGGGAGGAAGGGGCAGAGAUUUUUGCUACCGGUUCUCCGAACCACCCACCGCCAUUGCUACCAGAUUGGGUUAUCCGGUCCGAACCGUGAGCAUUUCACCCCUGCACCAAGGUGCUUUUGAGAGUAAAAUGCAUGCUCUGGAACACUGAGACGCUCAUUAAAAGCUAUUUGGAUAUUUCAUUCUUUCUAACAAAUUCCCAGUCAGGUUUAACCUUUAGUGAUAAAUAUUUUAAGAUAAUUUUGAAGAUAUAGAAAAGAAAAGCAGAAGUAGGGAGAAUCUCUGUUGCAAUGGAGUACAACCUUUCGGCAGAUUUGAUCAAUAAAUCACUUUUGGAAAACGAUUCUGAAGGAUAUCUAACUUUAAUGAAUGAUAUACUCUCCAAAUCAAAGCAAAGGGACAUGCAGAGUGCAAUAAUAUCCUAAGGUGGACUAAAAGAAUGACAUGACACAAAUUGGGAAUAGAUGAAAAUAGAAUUAGUAACAGUAAUGAAAAUCAUGACAGGAACUUUAAUAACCAAAAAUUGUCAGCAGACAAACCAUUCCCUAAACCAUAAUGUAAACACUGCUUUUUGACAUAUUAAUAUCAGGAAGAAUCCUGAGAAAGUUCAAUUUAAUAGCUUAUCAAAACAGUCCAGGGAAACAAUGUUGUAUAACUAUGUUAGUCCUUUUACCUUGCUCUAAUAUUAUUUCAAAAGGUAAGGUCCAUAUGCAUUUAAUCUGAAAAAUAGGUUUGUUCAGGGCUCUCUCCAUCGGGUAGGGAGCGCCAUGAUCACGGUAAAGGAAUAUGAAUAAAGUAUACUUUAUUGUUUUUCUC